UCCGUAGGUGAACCUGCGGAAGGAUCAUUGUCGAGACCCAAAAGGACGAUCGUAAACCCGUAAAUGCUCCCUCAGGGGCGGAGGGAGGGCUGAUAUUCCGACUUGCCUGACCCACACCUUGGGGAAUAAUGGCCAUCCCCGCCUCGCAUCGCUGCGGGACGGGCAGCGGUAACAAAACCGGUGCGGUGGGUACCAAGGAACAGUGUUGUCGGAGUGCGCCAUAUGCCGACCUCAGUGCGUAGCACGGUCCUUCCAUACGUCAAACUUUUACAACUCUCGGUAAUGGAUAUCUUGGCUCUCGCAUCGAUAAAUAACGUAGCGAAAUGCGAUACUUGGUAUGAAUUACAGAAUCUUGUAAACCGUCGAGUUUUUGUACGCAAGUUGCGCCUGAGGCUAUCUGACCGAGGACAUGCUUGCCUGGGCGUCACGCCUCGCGUCACUCUGCGCACCAUGUCCCCCACCCUGGGGAGGCAGCAGGCAUGGUUACAGAGAUUGGCCCCCUGUGCCUGAUAGUGCGGCAGUUCAAAGUGUGUGCCGCUGAUCGAGACGGACGCGACGAGUGGUGGACGACACGUGCGGCGCUUAACAUUGUCUCUGCCUCCCAACCCCGGCGGCACAUGCAAGGAACCCACACCGAGCACCCCUUAGAACACAUCCCCAGGUCAGGUAGGGCCAUCUGCUGAGCUUAAGCAUAUCAAUAAGCGGAG
rnacentral:rRNA from 1 species